UGGGGAAUUUUGGACAAUGGGCGCAAGCCUGAUCCAGCAAUGCCGCGUGCAGGAUGAAGGCCUUCGGGUUGUAAACUGCUUUUGUACGGAGCGAAAAGGUCUGCCCUAAUACGGUGGGCUCAUGACGGUACCGUAAGAAUAAGCACCGGCUAACUACGUGCCAGCAGCCGCGGUAAUACGUAGGGUGCGAGCGUUAAUCGGAAUUACUGGGCGUAAAGCGUGCGCAGGCGGUUAUAUAAGACAGAUGUGAAAUCCCCGGGCUCAACCUGGGACCUGCAUUUGUGACUGUAUAGCUAGAGUACGGUAGAGGGGGAUGGAAUUCCACGUGUAGCAGUGAAAUGCGUAGAUAUGCGGAGGAACACCGAUGGCGAAGACAAUCCCGUGGACCUGUACUGACGCUCAUGCACGAAAGCGUGGGGAGCAAACA
rnacentral:rRNA from 1 species